UACGGAGGGGGCUAGCGUUGUUCGGAAUUACUGGGCGUAAAGCGCACGUAGGCGGCUUUGUAAGUUAGAGGUGAAAGCCCGGGGCUCAACUCCGGAAUUGCCUUUAAGACUGCAUCGCUAGAAUUGUGGAGAGGUAAGUGGAAUUCCGAGUGUAGAGGUGAAAUUCGUAGAUAUUCGCAAGAACACCGGUGGCGAAGGCGGCCAACUGGUCCGGAUCUGACGCUGAGGCGCGAAAGCGUGGGGAGCAAACAGG
rnacentral:rRNA from 1 species